GGUAGUUUCACAGUGUUAGAGUCACUGUAACUGAACUAGAAAUAACUGCUUGCAUUUUCACAAGGAUGUCAGAAAACUGAGCGGAACAAUAAUCACAAUAAGUUAACUGAAUUAUCCUUUUCUUUUUGGUAGCCAAUCACAAAACUCUGCUCAUAGAGAACAGGGCAUCAGGAUGAGCAGGAGGACACCUAAUGGAGUCUGUAUAGAGUUUACAAGCUCAGGUUUCACAGAGUGCUCAGAUGUGUGAACAGAGAGCAGUUCAUCAGAGACAUCCAGCAAACUCAAAGUGAGCCACAGCCAUUUUUCUUACACAAUCUGCCCCUAGAAAAGCGGGAAAUACCUCUGAGACAUAAGACCUGUGGUAUCUGAUGACCCACCUGACAUUGCAAGGUCUCCCGGAUCCAGGCUGCUACAGACUGACAAGAUGGUCUCCAGGAAGUGUAGAGCAAUGUAAUGGAGCAUGAGGAUGAAUCUCAGUACUGUCUGAAGAAAGGAUGUUUAAGGGCUAACCCAUUUCACAGAUGCAAGGUAUAAAACAUUAGUAAAAAUUUUUGAAUGCAGUAUUAGAAAGAUACAUUUCAUGUACAUUUAAAGAGUUUUUAUCAUGGCACUUCUGCCAACAAAAUAACUGUUACAUCUUACUUUCCUAAUUGAUAACUAAUUGCUUCUUAUAUCACUGGUAGUGACGUGUUGUUGGAUCCUUUAAGGCUGACAGAUUACUAUAGACACAAUACUGGAGUUCUUUAAGAACACUUAUGAGAACAUCUUUGAAAUGUCUUUAUUAAAAGCAAUAGCAUCUUUUCUAAAUGGUGGAUGGCAGCUGGCUGUGUGCCCUCACAGCCCAGAAAGCCAGUAGAAUCCUGGGCUGCAUUCAAAGCAGUGCAGCCAGGAGGGUGAGAGAGGGGAUCUGCCUCUCUGCUCUGUGCUGUGGACCUCAUCUGGAGCACUGUGUUCAGAUAUGGAGUCCUCAGUAUAGGAAAAACAUGGACCUGUUGGAACACAUCCAGAGAAGGGCCACAAAGAUGAUCCAAAGGAUGGAACAACUCUACUCAAAGGACAGGCUGAGAGAACUCACUGCAGGACUGCUCAGCCUGGGGAAGAGAAGGAUCUGGGGAGAGCUCAGAGCAACUUUGAGGUGUAUAUGGGUGGAUAUAAGAAACAAGGGAACAGACUGUUGGUCUGUUGUGAUAGGACAAGGGGAAAUUGUUUCACAUAAAAGAGGGGAGAUUUAAACUGAAUGUAAGGAAAAAGCUUUUUUAUAAGCUAUCCUUAUAUAGUAAGGAUAGUCAGGCACUGGAAGAAUUGCCCAGAGAGGUGGUGGAUGCUGCAUCCCUGCAGACACUCAAGGUCAGGCUGGACAGGGCUCUGAGCACCUGAUGGAGCUGUGGGUGUCCCUGUUCAUUGCAGGGGAAUUCAACCAGAUGGCCUU